rnacentral:rRNA from 1 species
GUCAAAUCAUCAUGCCCCUUAUGACCUGGGCUACACACGUGCUACAAUGGACGGUACAGUGGGCUGCCUACCCCGCGAGGGGAUGCGAAUCCAUAAAGCCGUUCUCAGUUCGGAUCGGAGUCUGCAACUCGACUCCGUGAAGCCGGAAUCGCUAGUAAUCGCGUAUCAGCCACGACGCGGUGAAUACGUUCCCGGGCCUU